CUGAAACAAAUGUCUUUCUAUGCACAAGUCUAGUGUAGAUAUCAAUUUGUAGGUUUGCGAUGUAUUACCCUUUUUUAUAUGCAAUAUUUUCAAGAUAUGUCUUUCUUUUUGUUGUGCUCAGCUGGGGAAAAAGCAAAUCACAGCCAAAAAAUAAAUCCCUAUCUAGUUCUGGUUUCCAAACUUCAAACUCUUGAUUAUUGACCUGCAGUUACUAACAUCUUCCCCUACAGAUACUGUCUGCAUCUUAGUGUUCAUCCAAUUCAAUGCCAUAGCAACUGCUACAGCUGGAUAGUGUAAUCUUAC